rnacentral:rRNA from 1 species
CAAUAGCGUAUAUUAAAGUUGUUGCAGUUAAAAAGCUCGUAGUUGGAUUUGUGCUCUGCCGCGAUGUCCUUGUUGGUACGUUCGCGGGAGAGCAUCCUUGGGUGGAACCUGCGUGGCAUUAGGUUGUCGGGUAGGGGAGACUCAUCGUUUACUGUGAAAAAAUUAGAGUGUUCAAAGCAGGCUUAAGCCGUUGAAUAUAUUAGCAUGGAAUAAUGAGAUAGGACCUUGGUACUAUUUUGUUGGUUUGCGCACCGAGGUAAUGAUUAACAGGGACAGUUGGGGGUAUUCGUAUUCCAUUGUCAGAGGUGAAAUUCUUGGAUUUUUGGAAGACGAACUACUGCGAAAGCAUUUACCAAGGAUGUUUNCAUUAA